GCAGGAUACGAUUUUUUUGGCUGAGGUCAAGCUACCAAGGUGCAGUUACCCACUACCCAAUUGGAUUCCUCUUCUAUUACGUAAUUGGAAAUACCACAUCCCAAUCCCGGCAGAUGAAAAACACAAGCAAACAGAGGUUUGAUAAAUUCCCAGCAAUCAUUCAAUGGGUAUGUGUUGUAGCUGGACAGUUAGCCCUGAAAACGCUCUGCAGGUGUCUCUCUAACUCAGCACCCGGAGAGCAUCCAGGCAAAGGGCUCAUCCUCCCUCAUUCUGUGCCCUGUGGUGCUCACCUGGGACCUCCAGUCAAAUGCCAACAACAGCAACGGAAGGAACAGGAAACUGACAUGGAGACUGCAGUUAAACAGGCCGUGGAACAGUUUAAAUAAAG